rnacentral:other from 1 species
UUCCUGCGGUGUUCGACAGCGACAGUGUGUCUUGUGCCGAUAAGCUAAUGCUAUGGAGAUUGAAAUUAGAUUGGCGUGCAGGCUUGCUAGACGAGAAGCCCGAUAUUUAAUUGAGAUCACCCCUUGAACCCUCCUGGUUCAAGAACCCCGUUCGCAUCGGCACUGCGGGACAU